rnacentral:rRNA from 1 species
AUUGAACGCUGGCGGCAUGCUUUACACAUGCAAGUCGGACGGCAGCACAGAGAAGCUUGCUUCUUGGGUGGCGAGUGGCGAACGGGUGAGUAACAUAUCGGAACGUACCGAGCAGUGGGGGAUAACUAAUCGAAAGAUUAGCUAAUACCGCAUAUCUUCUGAGGAAGAAAGCAGGGGACCAUUUGGCCUUGCGCUGUUUGAGCGGCCGAUAUCUGAUUAGUUAGUUGGUGGGGUAAAGGCCUACCAAGGCGACGAUCAGUAGCGGGUCUGAGAGGAUGAUCCGCCACACUGGGACUGAGACACGGCCCAGACUCCUACGGGAGGCAGCAGUGGGGAAUUUUGGACAAUGGGCGCAAGCCUGAUCCAGCCAUGCCGCGUGUCUGAAGAAGGCCUUCGGGUUGUAAAGGACUUUUGUCAGGGAAGAAAAGGGCGGGGUUAAUACCCCUGUCUGAUGACGGUACCUGAAGAAUAAGCACCGGCUAACUACGUG